AGAGUUUGAUCAUGGCUCAGAUUGAACGCUGGCGGCAGGCCUAACACAUGCAAGUCGAACGGUAACAGGAAACAGCUUGCUGUUUCGCUGACGAGUGGCGGACGGGUGAGUAAUGUCUGGGAAACUGCCUGAUGGAGGGGGAUAACUACUGGAAACGGUAGCUAAUACCGCAUAACGUCGCAAGACCAAAGAGGGGGACCUUCGGGCCUCUUGCCAUCAGAUGUGCCCAGAUGGGAUUAGCUAGUAGGUGGGGUAACGGCUCACCUAGGCGACGAUCCCUAGCUGGUCUGAGAGGAUGACCAGCCACACUGGAACUGAGACACGGUCCAGACUCCUACGGGAGGCAGCAGUGGGGAAUAUUGCACAAUGGGCGCAAGCCUGAUGCAGCCAUGCCGCGUGUAUGAAGAAGGCCUUCGGGUUGUAAAGUACUUUCAGCGGGGAGGAAGGGAGUAAAGUUAAUACCUUUGCUCAUUGACGUUACCCGCAGAAGAAGCACCGGCUAACUCCGUGCCAGCAGCCGCGGUAAUACGGAGGGUGCAAGCGUUAAUCGGAAUUACUGGGCGUAAAGCGCACGCAGGCGGUUUGUUAAGUCAGAUGUGAAAUCCCCGGGCUCAACCUGGGAACUGCAUCUGAUACUGGCAAGCUUGAGUCUCGUAGAGGGGGGUAGAAUUCCAGGUGUAGCGGUGAAAUGCGUAGAGAUCUGGAGGAAUACCGGCGGCGAAGGCGGCCCCCUGGACGAAGACUGACGCUCAGGUGCGAAAGCGUGGGGAGCAAACAGGAUUAGAUACCCUGGUAGUCCACGCCGUAAACGAUGUCGACUUGGAGGUUGUGCCCUUGAGGCGUGGCUUCCGGAGCUAACGCGUUAAGUCGACCGCCUGGGGAGUACGGCCGCAAGGUUAAAACUCAAAUGAAUUGACGGGGGCCCGCACAAGCGGUGGAGCAUGUGGUUUAAUUCGAUGCAACGCGAAGAACCUUACCUGGUCUUGACAUCCACGGAAGUUUUCAGAGAUGAGAAUGUGCCUUCGGGAACCGUGAGACAGGUGCUGCAUGGCUGUCGUCAGCUCGUGUUGUGAAAUGUUGGGUUAAGUCCCGCAACGAGCGCAACCCUUAUCCUUUGUUGCCAGCGGUCCGGCCGGGAACUCAAAGGAGACUGCCAGUGAUAAACUGGAGGAAGGUGGGGAUGACGUCAAGUCAUCAUGGCCCUUACGACCAGGGCUACACACGUGCUACAAUGGCGCAUACAAAGAGAAGCGACCUCGCGAGAGCAAGCGGACCUCAUAAAGUGCGUCGUAGUCCGGAUUGGAGUCUGCAACUCGACUCCAUGAAGUCGGAAUCGCUAUUAAUCGUGGAUCAGAAUGCCACGGUGAAUACGUUCCCGGGCCUUGUACACACCGCCCGUCACACCAUGGGAGUGGGUUGCAAAAGAAGUAGGUAGCUUAACCUUCGGGAGGGCGCUUACCACUUUGUGAUUCAUGACUGGGGUGAAGUCGUAACAAGGUAACCGUAGGGGAACCUGCGGUUG
rnacentral:rRNA from 1 species